rnacentral:lncRNA from 1 species
UAUAGAAGCUUAGAAAGAAUGUAAUCACCUUGGCAAACAUGGAGAGGACCCAUUGAAGCACUGUCUAUGGGGAAGGAAGUUCUACCCAGCAGGCUUUGAGUAUGCCCAACCCCAAGGGCUAAGCUAACCCCGGAGGACACAGAGAGGUUUAGGCCAAGACCUGUGAGUUCUCUGGUGUUUUGGAUUACUAAAAACUAACAAAGGAUUUUGGCUACUCCUGGACAGUGGCUGAAAUGGUCUUCAAAAUAUGAGCCUUCAACUGUACCCUAGAUCUAAGACCCAGGAGCCUGCCUCACUUCAAGAAGUUUCUCCCCCCAAAAGAAAAUCAUUUCCCAAUUACCUUCUUUUGGUGUUUAGGAAGCUGCCGGGAGACUACCUGAGUAAGAUCCUGUACAAUGACGUGAAAAGUAGGCCUUCUCACUGCAGCAAUGUACACUUAUCACAAGUACAGAGUAAGUGCUCCGUGAACGUACAGUGCAAGUUUCCCUGUGUGGGUGAAAAUACGGCAUCUUAAAAACUUUAAUAGUACGUGAUUUUAAUCAAUAAUUGAAAAAGAGAUGUUUCUUAAGGAAAAGAACAUUUACCCCAAGAGGAAACAGAGCUUCGCUUUCCAGCAAUGAGCCUUUGGGUUUGGACCCUGAAGUUAUCUUUGAACCGUUUCUCGUUUGGCGACUACUGAGAAGAGGCUGCAGACGAACCGGAGGCUGCAUAUUUCCUGGGGCAGUAUAUGGUCGAGGGGCUGUCUAGACGAUGAUGGGGGAAAAUUCCAUUUAAAUUAGUACCUUGACAUGUUUCCAGAACCAAUUAAUAACCCAACAAAUUACCCAGAGUAAUUAAUGGUGCCUUUUUACUGAACAGAUUAAACUUUAAUUAUAUCCUUCCAUUAUAUCUACCCUUCUGACCCCAAAGUAUUUGUUAAAACAUAUGGUGUUGAAGUCUUCUACAUAACCAAAUACCCUGGAUGGAGCCCUCUAGACAAAAGAGAUGGCCUCUACUGUAGUCCUAUAUUUUUGCUCAUAAUGUAAAUUCUUUAUUGUGCUGAAUAUGGGCAAAAAAAUGGCUUUGCUCAAUUAAAUGUUAAGUUAAAUAAUGUCCUCUUUCAGAGAACUGAAAGGAUAUUAUUGGAACAGACUCAUUUCAGUUUCAAUGUUUUCAAUAUAAAAUCUACUUUGAAUUCAUUACGCGGCAAGGUUGGCACCCAAAGUAAAAGCAGACACCAGGAAAGGCAGGUGCUUGGCUAUAAUGUACCACCAAUUACAUAUCUUCAACUGCUUUCUAAAAAGAUCCCCUGUCUACCUUCUCUGUCUGAGGAGCUCUGGGCCCUGUAAGCAAUUUCUUAAGGAAUUUACUAACCAACCUCAGGACUGAAAUUAGAUUCUACCAAGGAGAAGAAGGAUAUCAGAGAAGAUUGGAAGAUGAAAUGGAGGCCUUUAUUUCCAUAAUCCUGCAGGGCAGAAAUGGUUUCUACCACCUAAGUGUUUAUGCUUCUAUGGGGAAGUCCUUACCUGCUAUGGGACCUACCUACUUCUUCUAGAACUCAAUCCUUCCCAUCCAGACUCCUCUUCAACCUAGGGACUGUGGCUUUCCAUUGUGCUGACCCCAGCAGGCUUACCAUCCCUAGUUGGCUUUUCUUCACCCUGCUGUAUCUUCCUAAAUAGUUUAUUAAACAACUUUGUAAUUACUCUA